CGUACCUGCCCUGAGCGCUCGGCCGAGCGCCCGGCAGGCUGCAGCGCUAGCCCUUCCUCGCGUGCUCCGCCCUGGUCCCCGGUGGCCCACGCGGGGGCACCCAGCGCAGCCUGGCAUCCGCUGGCGGGCGGGCCCCACGCGGCUCCUCCUCGCAGCGUGCGGAACUGCCCCGCGUGCCGCCCCCACUCCAGCCCCGGGAAGCCCCGAUUGCGGGCGGAGCGCGAGCCACCGCGGCGGGUGGAGCCUGCGGCCGCCGGAUCCCAGGGCCAAUCGCGCGGUGGCAGGGGAGGAGCCCCGGAGGGGGAAAAAGAAAGUGCGGCGGAAAGUAAGAGGCGAGUCGAGGAAGGCUGCUGGGAUCUGGGUCUCCUGGGCUCGGCUUGGACCAGGGCGCGGAAAGAGGCAGUGGCCGGCCACCCUGCACCCAUCCCGUCAUUGUCGCCGAGUCUGCUCGGCUGGCCCAGGAAGGAUGGGAUUUCUGUGGUUGAUGAGUCUGUGCUUCUUUGGGAUCCUGCAGAGUCAUGCCUCAGGAUAUUUUGACAUCCAUGGUUUGAUUUUAAGUGCCUCUUCAGAAUUUCUCACUGUUCCUCAAAAUAAAGGAAGAUGAAAGAGGAGAGAGGGAGGAGAAUAAAGAAGAAAGAGAAACAAAGGAGUGAGGAGAA
rnacentral:lncRNA from 1 species